AUACUUACCUGAUGGGGGAGAUACCAUGAUUGUGAAGGUGGUUUUCCUAAGGCAAGGCUUGUCCAUUGUGCUUUGGAUGUGCUGACUCAUGUGAUGUCAUGUGAUGAAACUUGAUUAUGGAAUUUUUGCUAAUUGGAGACUGUAUUCAUGCUCUCCCCUG
rnacentral:snRNA from 1 species